rnacentral:rRNA from 1 species
AGAGUUUGAUCCUGGCUCAGGAUGAAUGCUGGCGGCGUGCCUAAUACAUGCAAGUCGAGCGGUAAGGCCCUUCGGGGUACACGAGCGGCGGACGGCUGAGUAACGCGUGGGAACAUGCCCCAAAGUGAGGGAUAACGCACCGAAAGGUGUGCUAAUACCGCAUAUGGUCUUCGGAUUAAAGGAUUUAUCCGCUUUGGGAGUGGCCCGCGUACGAUUAGAUUGUUGGUGAGGUAACGGCUCACCAAGUCGACGAUCGUUAACUGGUCUGAGAGGAUGAUCAGUCAGACUGGAACUGAGACACGGUCCAGACUCCUACGGGAGGCAGCAGUAAGGAAUCUUCCACAAUGGGCGAAAGCCUGAUGGAGCAACGCCGCGUGCAGGAUGAAGGCCCUCGGGUCGUAAACUGCUUUUAUGAGUGAAGAAUAUGACGGUAACUCAUGAAUAAGCACCGGCUAACUACGUGCCAGCAGCCGCGGUCAUACGUAGGGUGCAAGCAUUAUCCGGAGUGACUGGGCGUAAAGAGUUGCGUAGGUGGUUAGUAAAGUGAAUAGUGAAACCUGGUGGCUCAACCAUACAGACUAUUAUUCAAACUCACUAACUCGAGAGUGGUAGAGGUAACUGGAAUUUCUUGUGUAGGAGUGAAAUCCGUAGAUAUAAGAAGGAACACCAAUGGCGUAGGCAGGUUACUGGACCAUUUCUGACACUAAGGCACGAAAGCGUGGGGAGCGAACCGGAUUAGAUACCCGGGUAGUCCACGCCGUAAACGAUGGAUACUAGCUGUUGGAGGUAUCGACCCCUUCAGUAGCGAAGCUAACGCGUUAAGUAUCCCGCCUGUGGAGUACGGUCGCAAGACUAAAACAUAAAGGAAUUGACGGGGACCCGCACAAGCGGUGGAGCGUGUUGUUUAAUUCGAUGGUAAGCGAAGAACCUUACCCAGGUUUGACAUCCUUGGAAUUUUGCCGAAAGGCGAGAGUGCUUUAUUGAACCAAGUGACAGGUGUUGCAUGGCCGUCGUCAGCUCGUGUCGUGAGAUGUUUGGUUA